rnacentral:rRNA from 1 species
CCAAUAGCGUAUAUUAAAGUUGUUGCAGUUAAAAAGCUCGUAGUUGAAUUUCGGGGUCAGUAGGCUGGUCGUGCCACAGGUACGUACUGGUCUCACUGAUUCCUCCUUCCUGAUGAACUGUAAUGCCAUUAAUUUGGUGUUGCGGGGAAACUGGACUGUUACUUUGAAAAAAUUAGAGUGUUUAAAGCAGGCUAACGCUUGAAUACAUUAGCAUGGAAUAAUGAAAUAGGACGUUCGAUCCUAUUUUGUUGGUUUCUAGGAUUGACGUAAUGAUUAAUAGGGAUAGUUGGGGGCAUUAGUAUUCAAUUGUCAGAGGUGAAAUUCUUGGAUUUAUUGAAGACUAACUACUGCGAAAGCAUUUGCCAAGGAUGUUUUCAUUAAUCAAGAACGAAAGUUAGGGGAUCGAAGACGAUCAGAUACCGUCGUAGUCUUAACCAUAAACUAUGCCGACUAGGAAUCGGAUGAUAUUAAUUUUUUAAUGACUCAUUUGGCGCCUUACG